rnacentral:tRNA from 2 species
GGUCAGAUGGCCGAGCGGUCUAAGGCGCUAGCUUCAGGAGGAUCUUGACAUCCAAGUGUCUGCUAGUCAUGAAAAUGGCGUGGGUUCGAAUCCCACUCUGAUCA